rnacentral:piRNA from 1 species
UAACAAGAUCUAGUCUUUCUGUGUUAGCC